AAAUAAAGAUUCAGAGCUCAAGUUUGAGAUAACCAUUUUUGUUGGUUCAGAACCCGUAACUUAAUCAGGUUGACCUUUAUUGACGCAAAUAUUUUGGGAUAUGCAGGAAGAUAUAAACUACUAGAAUUUUGAAAUUCAAUGAGCCUCGAUAAAAACCCCCGUUGAAACAGGGGAAAAGAGUGUCUCAUUGUUUUUUAUUCAUUUAUGAAAACGGUUCUUAUACAUCAUUUGAAAAUAUUGUUAAAAGAAGAGAAUGGUUUUACUUAUUCUUCCACCGAUAAAGUGAUGCGCCGUGAUUAGCUAUAGUAGAACUUUAGGUUGGCUACGUUCCAUGUCCUUGGGAGGAUUUUUCCUUCCAUGGUCUCUAGGCGAUAUGCUCCUCCUUCG
rnacentral:lncRNA from 1 species